rnacentral:rRNA from 1 species
AGUAAAAGUCGUAACAAGGUCUCCGUAGGUGAACCUGCGGAGGGAUCAUUACGGUUUGGAACGCCCCCGGUCCGCCGGUGGGCAGCUCGGGGGGGAAAAGACGCGCCGUGGGCCCCUCGGGUCCCCCGGCGCGGCCCCCGGGUCCUCCAACUCUCACCCCAUGUGUUUCGACCCCGUUGCUUCGGGGGCCACCCCGCCUCGCGGGGGCCCCCGGCGGCACCAACCAAAAAACUCGUGUAUCUUCGCGUCCGAGUCGUAUACCAAUUAUACAAAACUUUCAACAACGGAUCUCUUGGUUCUGGCAUCGAUGAAGAACGCAGCGAAAUGCGAUAAGUAAUGUGAAUUGCAGAAUUCAGUGAAUCAUCGAAUCUUUGAACGCACAUUGCGCCCAUUAGUAUUCUAUUGGGCAUGCCUGUUCGAGCGUCAUUUCGACCCUUAAGCCUAGCUUAGUGUUGGGAAUCUACCCUGUAGCUACCCUGUAGCCACAUUGUAGUUCCUCAAAUCGAACGGCGGAGUUGUGAUAUCCUCUGAGCGUAGUAACCUUUAUCUCGCUUUUGUAGGUGUUGCGGCCCCUGCCGGAAAACCCUUAUUUUUAAUGGUUUGACC